rnacentral:rRNA from 1 species
AUUGAACGCUGGCGGCAUGCCUUACACAUGCAAGUCGAACGGUAACGCGGGGCAACCUGGCGACGAGUGGCGAACGGGUGAGUAAUAUAUCGGAACGUGCCCAGUUGUGGGGGAUAACUGCUCGAAAGAGCAGCUAAUACCGCAUACGACCUGAGGGUGAAAGCGGGGGAUCGCAAGACCUCGCGCAAUUGGAGCGGCCGAUAUCAGAUUAGGUAGUUGGUGGGGUAAAGGCUCACCAAGCCAACGAUCUGUAGCUGGUCUGAGAGGACGACCAACCACACUGGGACUGAGACACGGCCCAGACUCCUACGGGAGGCAGCAGUGGGGAAUUUUGGACAAUGGACGCAAGUCUGAUCCAGCCAUGCCGCGUGCGGGAGGAAGGCCUUCGGGUUGUAAACCGCUUUUGUCAGGGAAGAAACGCUCUGGGUUAAUACCUCGGGGGUAAUGACGGUACCUGAAGAAUAAGCACCGGCUAACUACGUGCCAGCCGCCGCCGUAACAC